rnacentral:rRNA from 1 species
GGACUACCGGGGUAUCUAAUCCUGUUUGCUCCCCACGCUUUCGCACCUCAGCGUCAAUAUUGGCCCAGGUCGCCGCCUUCGCCACUGGUGUUCCUCCCGAUAUCUACGAAUUUCACCUCUACACCGGGAAUUCCGCGACCCUCUUCCAUAUUCAAGCCGAUCAGUUUCGUAUGCACUUCCUGGGUUGAGCCCAGGGCUUUCACAUCCGACUUAAUCGGCCGCCUACGUGCGCUUUACGCCCAAUGAUUCCGAGCAACGUUUGCACCCUCCGUAUUACCGCGGCGGCUGGCAC